GUGAGGAAUAUUGGUCAAUGGACGAGAGUCUGAACCAGCCAAGUCGCGUGAAGGAAGACGGUUCUAUGAAUUGUAAACUUCUUUUGUGCAGGAAUAAAGUGGGUUACGUGUAACCUUUUGUAUGUACUGUACGAAUAAGGAUCGGCUAACUCCGUGCCAGCAGCCGCGGUAAUACGGAGGAUCCGAGCGUUAUCCGGAUUUAUUGGGUUUAAAGGGUGCGUAGGUGGAUUGAUAAGUCAGCGGUGAAAGUUUGCAGCUUAACUGUAAAAUUGCCGUUGAAACUGUCGGUCUUGAGUGCAAAUGAGGUAAGCGGAAUGUGUUGUGUAGCGGUGAAAUGCUUAGAUAUAACACAGAACUCCGAUUGCGAAGGCAGCUUACUGGGAUGCAACUGACACUGAUGCACGAAAGCGUGGGUAUCGAACAGGAUUAGAUACCCUGGUAGUCC
rnacentral:rRNA from 1 species